GCUUUAGUCACCUUUGGAGACAACAGAAGGUUGGAUGCCUUGUGGUGCAGGAACUGCUGAGCCAAUAGACCUCAAGCUGCUCCAGAGAGUCAAGGUUUCAUUUUAAAAAGGAAGAUUCAAGCUGAUCUCUCUCCUCCAUAACAUGUGGAAGUUGAAUCAUAAAGCUCUACCCUGCAGGGCAUCCAAAUGCUGAUGGUUUGAGCCACAAAGUUUAGCUCUAAACCUGCAACUGUGUUUGAUAUAGAGGGAUAAUACCUCUCAUCUUCCCAGGGAAACAGGUUUAUUUUUCUCUUCAAAAAACAAAUGUGCAUUUUUGAACAGGUAACUUCAGGACAUCAUUAAACUACAAACAUGAAAUAAAUCUCAGAGCAACUUUAGAAGCC